AUUUGAUUUGGUAGCACAUAUACUAGAAAAUUGGAACAACACAGAGAAGAUUAGUAUGAUCUCUGACCAAGGAAGACAUGCAAAUUCAUGAAUCGUUCCAUAUUUAA
ensembl:snRNA U6 U6 spliceosomal RNA